GGAACCAAUCGUUUUCAAAUAGUGCUUGCAUAGAUUUGAGUUCACUUUCGAUUUCAAACAGUGUGCAUGCUUAGUUUGUACUAGAUAUUUAAAUGUUUUUGAUUGAAGGAAAUCAGACAUUUAUGUAUUACAGCUGUUGGUUUUCAUUUCAGACAAGAUUUUUCACCCACAUUAAAUCUUUUUGCCUUUUUCAGCAUAUUCUCAUUGGCUGAUUUGAAUAUGAAUAUUGGGUAAAUAUUUAGUCAAUACUUAAAGAUGCCAUGAAUUUUGCAUUUCACACAUUCGCUACCAGCAUUCAUGUGCUUAUAAAGAGUUAAACUAGAAGAAUCUCACCACUAGGUGGCCGUGCAAGUCCACAGAAAUCAGAUUUACAUUCAAAACAUGGCAAUUUAGGGACUUCUAAAUGUGAAAGGCUAUUUUAAUCUACUUUUGUUUUCUAAUCACAAUCUAAUUCAUAAUAACAUCGUUUUGUGUGCCUUUAGUAAACCAUAUAUGUCAUGGUUCACCAUAUCUCUUUUAACCCUAGGCUUUAUACAUGCAUCACAAAUGAGAUGCGAUUAGACAGUUGUCAAUAAAAAAAAAUAAAAAAAAAACAUUUUAAUGAUCAUUUUGAUUGUGUGCGAGAGAUUUUGCCUUCAUUGUAUCCCUUUAGCUCUAAAAUCUGAAGCAAAAAUGUCUUAAAAGAUUAAAAAUGCGAGACGUUUGUGUUAGGGUUAAGUUUAGGGGUAGAGUAAGAGAAUAAAAAUUAAUAUAACCCUAACUUAAUCAUGAGAGAAAUCAGUUUCAACCAUUCGACAAUAACAAAUAUGAUUAUACAAUACAUGAUUAACACAUGACUAAUUAUGGCAUUUGUGCUACGUCAGACGAAAUAACCGCGUCGUGUGAGGUGCAUAGCAAACGAAACAUUACACAGACGGAUUUUAGCUUUAAAUCUGUCGAGUUUUUUUCCACACGUCAACAGGUGUGUGGCACCGCGCUGUUCUCUGAGCGCUAGGUGGCGCUAUCAGACCGCAGGAGCGCAGCGCAGGUUGCUCGUGACUAGGUAUUUCCCAAAUCAGUCACUCUAGCUCCUCAGCUCCGCACGCGCUCUCCGAAGUGACUGAAUAAGAAACCUUCUCUUUAUGAUUCUGAUCGUGUUAGAGACGUGCUUUGCUCUCGGCGUUUAACAAGACCGGGACGAUUAAAGAGCAGCACGACAACACAGACGGGACGCAACAGUAGGCGUCUGAUAGUGAUCGCCUAUUUUUGUAAGACGUGAUAAAUCGAUGGACCAAUCAAGAGUGUUGUUCUGCAGCAGAAGUUGAGUCGGCGCACCUUGCACAGACACGCGACACAAGUACGGCUGAAGAACUGCAAGAAAAGAACGCUAUCCUCUUUUUCAUGAAAGACUACUAUCCGCCCCCUCAUGUACAUUGCCUGGAAUAGUAACAGCACUGCCAGGCUUACUAAAUAUAGCAACCAGCUUGUUAUGUAAUGGGCUAUGUAUGUGAAUGGAGACAAGGGGCUGGAUGAAACGUGAAGGAUCAUGCGAUGUGGGCAAAGCAGCAGCAGCUGAGAGAUGCAAACAAGGCAGCACCCUUCGGGUUUUCACUCGCACAAGUUUGUGAUUUCCAAACCACAGACUCGAGACUGCUGUCCCUGUCAAAUUUGAAGUAAGGUGGGUUAAAUGAGGAAAAGCUCUGAGCGAGCUCAAGUCCACACAGCCGAAAUCAAGGUAUUUUUAGAUUUAGCGGAGGGUGCAAACGUCCAGCUUCUUUGUCAGAUCAAAGCCGCCACUUAUGGCACUCCUGGCAGAACACUGGUGUAUUUUAAGGAAAACAUGAUGACAAAUGUUAUAUUUAUGCCCCUGAUCUAAAUAUUUACCUAUUUCCAGUUCCCCCCACACAACUCGUCACCGCCCGCUCAUUCACGAUCCUCCCGUUUUAGCAGCAGGAGUCCGACAAACACUCCGGAGCAUCCCGAGUGUGGCGAAGCCAGGGCUUCCUGCACUGGGCAGGAGGAAACUUGAGGCAUCCAUCGUGUCAAGCACGGAGAGAGAAAUGAACGGCUCGAAAUCGAAUCGUAGAACGUUCCCAAACGGGGUUGCUCGUGACGUCACUGUCUUCAAAAUCUGCUGAUGAUGGACGUCUAUGCAAAAGUGAGAUGUGAAGCCAAACUGACAGAAAGGGAGUAACGACUGACAGGAAUGGAAGAUGUCGGAGGUUAAAAGAAGGGGUUUACCAAUAAACAAGCAUUGCAGAGGCCUCAGGCGUGAGAAUACCGUGGUGAAGUCCUACGGUUAAUCAUCUGAUCCACAACAUUCACAUGUCAGAGGGAAGAAUUAAAAGGAUGCAAAUCUGGGAUAACUUUACCUUGUAUCCUGCACACAAGAUCAAGGUCAAACCAACGUCUGUUAGACUGCUUUACACCUGUCAAUGGAUAUUCAGCAAAUUGAUCACUUUUUAGGAACAACAUAACACUGUCAGGUAUUUGCAAUAUUUGUCUGUAAACUACUUGGGGUUUAAUAAAUGAGCUGUCACGUGCAGACGUCUGUAGCGUCUGAGACGCAUGAGCUGUGAGACGUAAGGGAAUAUGAAAAUGAUGUAGUACGUAUUUAAGC